rnacentral:rRNA from 1 species
GGUGACUGCGUACCUUUUGUAUAAUGGGUCAGCGACUUAUUUUCAGUGGCGAGCUUAACCGAAUAGGGGAGGCGUAGCGAAAGCGAGUCUUAAUAGGGCGUUUAGUCGCUGGGAAUAGACCCGAAACCGGGCGAUCUAUCCAUGAGCAGGUUGAAGGUUAGGUAACACUGACUGGAGGACCGAACCCACUUCCGUUGAAAAGGCAGGGGAUGACUUGUGGAUCGGAGUGAAAGGCUAAUCAAGCUCGGAGAUAGCUGGUUCUCCUCGAAAGCUAUUUAGGUAGCGCCUCAUGUAUCACUCUGGGGGGUAGAGCACUGUUUCGGCUAGGGGGUCAUCCCGACUUACCAAACCGAUGCAAACUCCGAAUACCCAGAAGUGCCGAGCAUGGGAGACACACGGCGGGUGCUAACGUCCGUCGUGAAAAGGGAAACAACCCAGACCGUCAGCUAAGGUCCCAAAGUCCUGGUUAAGUGGUAAACGAUGUGGGAAGGCUUAGACAGCUAGGAGGUUGGCUUAGAAGCAGCCACCCUUUAAAGAAAGCGUAAUAGCUCACUAGUCGAGUCGGCCUGCGCGGAAGAUGUAACGGGGCUCAAACCAGGCACCGAAGCUACGGGUAUCACCUUUGGUGAUGCGGUAGAGGAGCGUUCUGUAAGCCUGUGAAGGUGAGUUGAGAAGCUUGCUGGAGGUAUCAGAAGUGCGAAUGCUGACAUGAGUAACGACAAUGCGAGUGAAAAACUCGCACGCCGAAAGACCAAGGGUUCCUGCGCAACGUUAAUCGACGCAGGGUGAGUCGGUCCCUAAGGCGAGGCUGAAAGGCGUAGUCGAUGGGAAACGGGUUAAUAUUCCCGUACUUCUAGUUACUGCGAUGGGGGGACGGAGAAGGCUAGGCCAGCUUGGCGUUGGUUGUCCAAGUUUAAGGUGGUAGGCUGACUGUUUAGGUAAAUCCGGACAGUUAAGGCCGAGAGCUGAUGACGAUCCUUCUUUUAGAAGGAGAAGUGGUUGAUGCCAUGCUUCCAGGAAAAGCCUCUAAGCUUCAGGUAACUAGGAACCGUACCCCAAACCGACACAGGUGGUCGGGUAGAGAAUACCAAGGCGCUUGAGAGAACUCGGGUGAAGGAACUAGGCAAAAUGGCACCGUAACUUCGGGAGAAGGUGCGCCGGUGAGGGUGAAGGGUUUACCCCGUAAGCUCAUGCCGGUCGAAGAUACCAGGCCGCUGCGACUGUUUAUUAAAAACACAGCACUCUGCAAACACGAAAGUGGACGUAUAGGGUGUGACGCCUGCCCGGUGCCGGAAGGUUAAUUGAUGGGGUUAGCGCAAGCGAAGCUCUUGAUCGAAGCCCCGGUAAACGGCGGCCGUAACUAUAACGGUCCUAAGGUAGCGAAAUUCCUUGUCGGGUAAGUUCCGACCUGCACGAAUGGCGUAACGAUGGCGGCGCUGUCUCCACCCGAGACUCAGUGAAAUUGAAAUCGCUGUGAAGAUGCAGUGUAUCCGCGGCUAGACGGAAAGACCCCGUGAACCUUUACUGUAGCUUUGCACUGGACUUUGAGCUUGCUUGUGUAGGAUAGGUGGGAGGCUUUGAAGCGUGGACGCCAGUCUGCGUGGAGCCAUCCUUGAAAUACCACCCUGGCAAUCUUGAGGUUCUAACUCUGGUCCGUUAUCCGGAUCGAGGACAGUGUAUGGUGGGCAGUUUGACUGGGGCGGUCUCCUCCUAAAGAGUAACGGAGGAGUACGAAGGUGCGCUCAGACCGGUCGGAAAUCGGUCGUAGAGUAUAAAGGCAAAAGCGCGCUUGACUGCGAGACAGACACGUCGAGCAGGUACGAAAGUAGGUCUUAGUGAUCCGGUGGUUCUGUAUGGAAGGGCCAUCGCUCAACGGAUAAAAGGUACUCCGGGGAUAACAGGCUGAUACCGCCCAAGAGUUCAUAUCGACGGCGGUGUUUGGCACCUCGAUGUCGGCUCAUCACAUCCUGGGGCUGAAGCCGGUCCCAAGGGUAUGGCUGUUCGCCAUUUAAAGUGGUACGCGAGCUGGGUUUAGAACGUCGUGAGACAGUUCGGUCCCUAUCUGCCGUGGACGUUUGAGAUUUGAGAGGGGCUGCUCCUAGUACGAGAGGACCGGAGUGGACGAACCUCUGGUGUUCCGGUUGUCACGCCAGUGGCAUUGCCGGGUAGCUACGUUCGGAAGAGAUAACCGCUGAAAGCAUCUAAGCGGGAAACUUGCCUCAAGAUGAGAUCUCACUGGAGCCUUGAGCUU